rnacentral:rRNA from 1 species
CAUGGAGGGUGAGAAUCCCGUUCAUGGUUAAUAUCAAGAUGCUUUACGAUACGUUUUCAAAGAGUCGAGUUGUUUGGGAUUGCAGCUCAAAAUGGGAGGUAAAUUUCUCCUAAAGCUAAAUAUUGGCGAGAGACCGAUAGCGAACAAGUACCGUGAGGGAAAGAUGAAAAGAACUUUGAAAAGAGAGUUAAACAGUACGUGAAAUUGUUGAAAGGGAAACGAUUGAAGUCAGUCGUACUAACGGGAAAUCAACCUUUUUGAGUUGUGAAUUUUGGAUUUUGAAGAGUUUAAACCUUCGGGUUCAAAUAUUUGCGGCUUUUUGGGCGUAAUUUCUCGUUCGGUAGGUUAACAUCGAUUUUGAAGAUUAUAAAAUGACCGGAGGAAUGUAGCUUCGAUCUCGUAUUGAAGUGUUAUAGCCUUUGGUAGAUGUAAUGAUCAAGAUCGAGGAUUGCAACGAAUACCCUUUGGGCUAUCCGUCUGAUCUCUGAUACGUUGCCUUGGUAACGAAAGCUUGCUUACGGUAUUGAGGUAUUACGGUCAAAAGGUUAGAACGUGAUUACAUUCGUUAAGGAUGUUGACGUAAUGG